AUUGAACGCUGGCGGCAGGCUUAACACAUGCAAGUCGAGCGGGGUGAUGUAGCUUGCUACCUAACCUAGCGGCGGACGGGUGAGUAAUGCUUAGGAAUCUGCCUAUUAGUGGGGGACAACAUUCCGAAAGGAAUGCUAUACCGCAUACGCCCUACGGGGGAAAGCAGGGGAUCUUCGGACCUUGCGCUAAUAGAUGAGCCUAAGUCAGAUUAGCUAGUUGGUGGGGUAAAGGCCUACCAAGGCGACGAUCUGUAGCGGGUCUGAGAGGAUGAUCCGCCACACUGGGACUGAGACACGGCCCAGACUCCUACUGGAGGCAGCAGUGGGGAAUAUUGGACAAUGGGCGAAAGCCUGAUCCAGCCAUGCCGCGUGUGUGAAGAAGGCCUUUUGGUUGUAAAGCACUUUAAGCGAGGAGGAGGCUACUUAGAUUAAUACUCUAGGAUAGUGGACGUUACUCGCAGAAUAAGCACCGGCUAACUCUGUGCCAGCCGCCGCAGUAA
rnacentral:rRNA from 1 species